UCCCUCAGCCGCGUUCUUCCCUCUCUUUCCCUCCACGACCUCUCGCUCUCUCUCUUCCUUCCUCCCUCUGCCAUCAUCGGAAAGCACAUAUCCGGCCACCAUCUCACCACACUGCCUCCACCAAUCGAUGCAGCGCCCAAAACCGACCCUAACCCGGGGCUCGCCGUCGACAUGCACCGCCUCCGGCCUCCACCCGCGACCACCAAAGCUGCGACGCUGCUGUCUCCCCUAGUCCUCUGAUUUCCAGCUAUCGAUUCAAACCACCACUAUCAUGAAUCGAAGCACCAAGUCCUAGAAAGCAGAAACCAAACCGUGGCCUCAAACUCCAACGCCGGAAAACGCCGCACGAGCUCGCCGGAAACCGUAGCUCUGCAUGUCUUCGUCUUCCGACCUCCAGUCUAAAUCGAGCGAAACCACUUUAGAGUCUCUAAUUUACUAGGGCCGAAUCCAUGGUGGAGGAAGCUUGAAGAUUUUGUGAAGAUCCGUGAAUCCAAGGGUAAGGUAUUGUCUUCCUAGGCCUAAAUCGUGAGUUUCGUUGGGUUUUAAUUAACAACGAUUCAUUAACAUGCAAACGUUGUUUUGAGGUUUGAAAAGAGGACCCAUCCAUGGUUGAAGCAACCACCAAUAGGGCCACCGUGAAACACCUCCUCACCGCUGCAAUUACCACUUGCUUGAUCAUCUCGUUUUGGGUAAGCUCGAAUCACAAUAUUCCCCAUUAGUAGAGUUUCCGUUAAGAGUGUUAAUGGGUAUUAAUGUGCAAUUUCAUAAAUGUGAUUUACGAGGAUUUUUCGAAGUGGAGGAGUUAAGGGAAUUAAUGGGGAGGAUUAUACUCGCAGCAUUGACAAAUGAUUGACAAGGUUAUGGAAGAUUUGUGAACAUGGAAAUGCCGAAGCAAUUAAAGGAAGAGAUUGGAGAGAUUUAUAUGGAAUGGAUGAAGGGACUCGAGCAUGUACACUUGGGCUUGGAUAAAGGAUCGAAAGUCGGGAACGAACCCAAGUGUGGACGAGCACUCCAAUUCCAGGGUUUAUUGAGAAUAUAAGUACGCGCAGUUCUUGAAAACAAAUCUUUGAAAUGAUGAGGUGACUCAAAAAGUGUUGUUUAUCUUUAUGGGUUCCCAUCCAUUCUAUGUUUUGAAGCACGGGACGACCUCAUCGGCUCAUCUCCGCUCUUGAGGAGGACGACACCAACCCUCCCCGCCGGCCACCUAACUUGACAGAACCACGUCGCCAUUUGGACAGCACAAUCACUACCACACAACCACACCGACUGGGGUUAUUCCACGAACAUCCAUCACCGGACAUUGGGUCCAUUCUGACCCGUCCGACGCUGCCGCCUGGUUUUUCUAACAACUGUAGAGGCGGUUCUCUAGGGUUUCGCUCUCACAGAGGAGCAAAAGUAGAGUAAAAAUUCUAAAAAAAAUUAUUUUUACCGGUAUAACUUUUUUUAAACUGAAUAAUUUUGGGAAGGCACAAGUAAAUCAAAUCUGUGUUUUGGAGUAACUUCAAGAAAGAGUUACUUUGGUCAAUAUCUUAGACUUUAAUGCUAAACAACAUUAUAGCUUUUCAUAACACUAAGCUAAGCUACAUGAUGAUCGAUGAGGUACUGUCAAUUCAAAAUGUUGAAGGAAAUGUACAGAUUUUGCAAAUUGUUGAAAGAAAUGUACAGAUUUUGAAGCAGAAAUGGGACAUUGCCAAAGCAAUAUAAAUGGAUGAGAAGGCUUCAUCAAGAAGUAAUACUAGUGCCAAUUCCAAGUUACCUUUCCAGCGCGUGAAGAGUGAUUUUCAAACUGUCGAAAGGGCUUCCAAAGAAACCAGGAGGCUUCUUGUAACUUGUAAUUAUGUGUUCUUUUAGGAGCUGGAAAGUUAGGCAGGUGCUUUCUAGAGAGCAUUCCAGAUCAGUAUCCGAAAAGCUCUAUUGAAAUUUCAUGUGCUAACAAAUAAAUGCACAUAGGUAUACCGUCUAAGCUCUCUCAAACUGGACCUUAAUACAUGGUUUUGGCAACUGAUCUAAUAACACUUCAAUGGAUCACUAGAAAACUCAAAACAAGUGGUCCAUCUAG